UGUGAAGUGGGCUUAAAGGUGGGAGUGGAAACACAGCCUCCUCAUCACAUUCCCCACCCUCAUCUUCUAGCAGUGAGGGUAAGCCAUCAAAUUUCUCAUGGCACCAAGGAUUCAAGCAAUGGGGUAAUGGAGAUCCUGGACAUUUAUUUUCUCACCAGUGAAAAUUAAUGAAGACCCAGGAGUUACUACAGCAUUAGUGAUGAGAAGGAAGUUUUAGCAGCUAGGGUGUGUUGAAACACAGCACUUUCCUCCUGUCAAGAAAUAACUCCACCAACAUAUAUGACUCCAAAAAGCCAUCUGGAUUUGCCUCUAGCAGUGUUGCAAGCUUGCUAAUGAGGACAACUUUUAACAGAAACCAUACUAGAAACAAUUUUUCUCCAAAGGCAUUAUUUGCUCAAGAGGAAAAAAAAAAAAAACCUCUAGGAAAUGAAAGAGAAGAUAGUGGAGAAACUCAAAUGGAAAUAGAAUGACUUUCGUCAGGAAAAUAUCUUGUUGAGAACCCUUAGGCAUGGAUAGUGAUCCUGAGCAUGGGUUGGAAGAACAAAGUUGAACAAAGAGGAGAUAGCUAAACUACUGUAUUUCAAUUUCAAAC
rnacentral:lncRNA from 1 species